rnacentral:rRNA from 1 species
AGUGAACGCUGGCGGUAGGCCUAACACAUGCAAGUCGAACGGCAGCACAGUAAGAGCUUGCUCUUACGGGUGGCGAGUGGCGGACGGGUGAGGAAUACAUCGGAAUCUACUUUUUCGUGGGGGAUAACGUAGGGAAACUUACGCUAAUACCGCAUACGACCUUCGGGUGAAAGCAGGGGAUCUUCGGACCUUGCGCGAUUGAAUGAGCCGAUGUCGGAUUAGCUAGUUGGCGGGGUAAAGGCCCACCAAGGCGACGAUCCGUAGCUGGUCUGAGAGGAUGAUCAGCCACACUGGAACUGAGACACGGUCCAGACUCCUACGGGAGGCAGCAGUGGGGAAUAGUGGACAAUGGGCGCAAGCCUGAUCCAGCCAUACCGCGUGGGUGAAGAAGGCCUUCGGGUUGUAAAGCCAUUUUGUUGGGAAAGAAAAGCAGCAGGUUAAUACCCCGCUGUUCUGACGGUACCCAAAGAAUAAGCACCGGCUAACUUCGUG